AAGCAGUAAGGCUGAGUAUUAGGCAAAUCCGGUACUCGUUAAGGCUGAGCUGUGAUGGGGAGAAGACAUUGUGUCUUCGAGUCGUUGAUUUCACACUGCCGAGAAAAGCCUCUAGAUAGAAAAUAGGUGCCCGUACCGCAAACCGACACAGGUAGUCAAGAUGAGAAUUCUAAGGUGAGCGAGCGAACUCUCGUUAAGGAACUCGGCAAAAUGACCCCGUAACUUCGGGAGAAGGGGUGCUCUUUAGGGUUAACGCCCAGAAGAGCCGCAGUGAAUAGGCCCAAGCGACUGUUUAUCAAAAACACAGGUCUCUGCUAAACCGUAAGGUGAUGUAUAGGGGCUGACGCCUGCCCGGUGCUGGAAGGUUAAGAGGAGUGGUUAGCUUCUGCGAAGCUACGAAUCGAAGCCCCAGUAAACGGCGGCCGUAACUAUAACGGUCCUAAGGUAGCGAAAUUCCUUGUCGGGUAAGUUCCGACCCGCACGAAAGGCGUAACGAUUUGGGCACUGUCUCAACGAGAGACUCGGUGAAAUCAUAGUACCUGUGAAGAUGCAGGUUACCCGCGACAGGACGGAAAGACCCCGUGGAGCUUUACUGUAGCCUGAUAUUGAAAUUCGGCACAGCUUGUACAGGAUAGGUAGGAGCCUUUGAAACGUGAGCGCUAGCUUACGUGGAGGCGCUGGUGGGAUACUACCCUAGCUGUGUUGGCUUUCUAACCCGCACCACUUAUCGUGGUGGGAGACAGUGUCAGGCGGGCAGUUUGACUGGGGCGGUCGCCUCCUAAAAGGUAACGGAGGCGCUCAAAGGUUCCCUCAGAAUGGUUGGAAAUCAUUCAUAGAGUGUAAAGGCAUAAGGGAGCUUGACUGCGAGACCUACAAGUCGAGCAGGGUCGAAAGACGGACUUAGUGAUCCGGUGGUU
rnacentral:rRNA from 1 species